rnacentral:rRNA from 1 species
UCGAGAAUCUUCGGCAAUGAGCGCAAGCUUGACCGAGCAAUGCCGCGUGCGGGAUGAAGGCCUUCGGGUUGUAAACCGCUGUCAGAGGGAACGAAAUUUCAGUGGGUUCUCCCAUUGGAUUGACUGAUCCUCAAAGGAAGGGUGGGCUAAGUUCGUGCCAGCAGCCGCGGUAAGACGUACCACCCGAACGUUAUUCGGAUUUACUGGGCUUAAAGAGUCCGUAGGCGGCCAAGUAAGUUGGAUGUGAAAUACCUCGGCUUAACCGAGGAACAGCAUUCAAAACUACAUGGCUUGAGAGAGACAGAGGUGAGCGGAACUGAUGGUGGAGCGGUGAAAUGCGUUGAUAUCAUCAGGAACACCGGUGGCGAAAGCGGCUCACUGGGUCUUAUCUGACGCUCAGGGACGAAAGCUAGGGGAGCGAACGGG